rnacentral:rRNA from 1 species
GAUGAACGCUGGCGGCGUGCCUAAUACAUGCAAGUCGAGCGAAUGGAUUAAGAGCUUGCUCUUAUGAAGUUAGCGGCGGACGGGUGAGCAACACGUGGGUAACCUGCCCAUAAGACUGGGAUAACUCCGGGAAACCGGGGCUAAUACCGGAUAAUAUUUUGAACUGCAUGGUUCAAAAUUGAAAGGCGGCUUCGGCUGUCACUUAUGGAUGGACCCGCGUCGCAUUAGCUAGUUGGUGAGGUAACGGCUCACCAAGGCAACGAUGCGUAGCCGACCUGAGACGGUGAUCGGCCACACUGGGACUGAGACACGGCCCAGACUCCUACGGGAGGCAGCAGUAGGGAAUCUUCCGCAAUGGACGAAAGUCUGACGGAGCAACGCCGCGUGAGUGAUGAAGGCUUUCGGGUCGUAAAACUCUGUUGUUAGGGAAGAACAAGUGCUAGUUGAAUAAGCUGGCACCUUGACGGUACCUAACCAGAAAGCCACGGCUAACUACGUGCCAGCAGCCGCGGUAA